UAGGGAAUCUUCCACAAUGGGCGCAAGCCUGAUGGAGCAACGCCGCGUGCAGGAUGAAGGCCUUAGGGUUGUAAACUGCUUUUAUAGGUGAAGAUUAUGACGGUAACCUAUGAAUAAGGAUUGGCUAACUCCGUGCCAGCAGCCGCGGUAAUACGGAGAAUUCAAGCGUUACCCGGAAUAACUGGGCGUAAAGCGUUGCGUAGGCGGUUUGUUAAGUGGGAUGUGAAACCUUAGGGCUCAACCUUAAGAUGGUAUUCCAAACUGACAGACUAGAGGUUGGUAGAGGUGAGUGGAAUUCCUGGUGUAGGAGUGAAAUCCGUAGAUAUCAGGAGGAACACCCAUGGCGAAGGCAGCUCACUGGACCAUACCUGACGCUCAGGCACGAAAGCGUGGGGAGCGAACCGG
rnacentral:rRNA from 1 species